rnacentral:rRNA from 1 species
AUUGAACGCUGGCGGCAUGCCUUACACAUGCAAGUCGAGCGGCAGCGCGGGGGCAACCCUGGCGGCGAGCGGCGGACGGGUGAGUAAUACAUCGGAACGUGUCCUUUCGUGGGGGAUAGCUCGGCGAAAGCCGGAUUAAUACCGCAUAAGCUCUGAGGAGGAAAGCGGGGGCUCCGUAAGGACCUCGCGCUGUUGGAGCGGCCGAUGUCGGAUUAGCUAGUUGGUGGGGAAAGGCCCACCAAGGCGACGAUCCGUAGCUGGUCUGAGAGGAUGAUCAGCCACACUGGAACUGAGACACGGUCCAGACUCCUACGGGAGGCAGCAGUGGGGAAUUUUGGACAAUGGGGGCAACCCUGAUCCAGCCAUUCCGCGUGAGUGAAGAAGGCC